GACAUAGGUUGCGAGCGUUAUUCGGAAUUACUAGGCGUAAAGCGAGUGUAGGCGGACCCUUAAGUCUGACGUUAAAUCUCCUGGCUUAACUAGGAGCUGUCGUCGGAUACUGAGGGCCUCGAAUGGAGUAGGGGGCAGGGGAAUUCCCGGUGUAGCGGUGAAAUGCGUAGAGACCCGGAGGAACACCAGUGGCGAAGGCGGCUUCCUGGUCUGCAACUGACGCUGUGGCGCGAAAGCUAGGGGAGCAAACGGG
rnacentral:rRNA from 1 species